CCUACGGGGGGCAGCAGUAGGGAAUCUUCGGCAAUGGACGAAAGUCUGACCGAGCAACGCCGCGUGAGUGAAGAAGGUUUUCGGAUCGUAAAACUCUGUUGGUAGAGAAGAACGUUGGUGAGAGUGGAAAGCUCAUCAAGUGACGGUAACUACCCAGAAAGGGACGGCUAACUACGUGCCAGCAGCCGCGGUAAUACGUAGGCCCCGAGCGUUGUCCGGAUUUAUUGGGCGUAAAGCGAGCGCAGGUGGUUUAUUAAGUCUGGUGUAAAAGGCAGUGGCUCAACCAUUGUAUGCAUUGGAAACUGGAGGACUCGAGUGCAGAAGAGGAGAGUGGAAUUCCAUGUGUAGCGGUGAAAUGCGUAGAUAUAUGGAGGAACACCAGUGGCGAAGGCGACUCUCUGGUCUGUAACUGACGCUGAGGCUCGAAAGCGUGGGGAGCAAACAGGAUUAGAUACCCUAGUAGUC
rnacentral:rRNA from 1 species